GUUCUGGUUCGGUUGGUGCCUCUAGCAAGGCUGGGGAACCCGCUGCCGUGCGGGUCUCUUGUUCUGUACGGCACUCAAACAGGCCUCAGAGAUGGAGAGUCUGCAUGGCUGGGAAGGGGCCUUCGAUCCUCCUUUAUCUUCUGCUUCCAGGUACAUAGAAUCACCUGGCUUGUUGUGGGGAGAGAAAGGACCCUUUUUUCCAGCGUCUCUUAGCUCAUUUCUGAGAGGAAGAAUUAGUAUUCGGGUCAGAUUCCAGGACACAUAUCUAUCAGAGGGAGCUGAGGACAAUGGGCACAACACCUCAAAGAGAAGCCUCUACCCCAGCCUCGUGAGAGACCUCAGACCCUCAGCUGCAGCUGAAACAGGGCAAGCCACCUCCUGAGGAAGGAAGCCUUUGUAACACCAGACCCAGGAUGUCAGAGAAUGGGGGAAGACGCCCGAGGAGGGAAGCUGUGGCUGGGUGGUGGUGUCACUCAUAACCCUGAUUCCCAGGGUCACCAAGGCCAACAAGUUGUCAAUGAAGCAGUAGUCUUUCCCAGGCUGUGCAGAGCCCCCAGCCACGCCUCCUCCUGUCCUCGCAGGUGUUGGCCUCUCUGCUGGGCCCCAGAGGGACGAUGGGAAAGGAAGAAGAGGAUGACCUUAUUUCUAGAAACUCUUAUCAGUGCAGAAGAAAGUGGAGAGAGCACAUGGACUCCAGCAGAACCAGGG
rnacentral:lncRNA from 1 species